AUUGAACGCUGGCGGCAGGCUUAACACAUGCAAGUCGAGCGGAGUGAUGGUGCUUGCACUAUCACUUAGCGGCGGACGGGUGAGUAAUGCUUAGGAAUCUGCCUAUUAGUGGGGGACAACAUCUCGAAAGGGAUGCUAAUACCGCAUACGUCCUACGGGAGAAAGCAGGGGAUCACUUGUGACCUUGCGCUAAUAGAUGAGCCUAAGUCGGAUUAGCUAGUUGGUGGGGUAAAGGCCUACCAAGGCGACGAUCUGUAGCGGGUCUGAGAGGAUGAUCCGGAACACGGGGACUGGGACACGGCCCAGACUCCUACGGGAGGCAGCAGUGGGGAAUAUUGGACAAUGGGGGGAACCCUGAUCCAGCCAUGCCGCGUGUGUGAAGAAGGCCUUAUGGUUGUAAAGCACUUUAAGCGAGGAGGAGGCUCUUUUGGUUAAUACCCAAGAUGAGUGGACGUUACUCGCAGAAUAAGCACCGGCUAACUCUGUGCCAGCCGCCGCGGUAA
rnacentral:rRNA from 1 species